AUUGAACGCUGGCGGCGUGCCUAAUACAUGCAAGUCGAGCGAACAGAAAAGGAGCUUGCUCCUUUGACGUUAGCGGCGGACGGGUGAGUAACACGUGGGCAACCUACCCUAUAGUUUGGGAUAACUCCGGGAAACCGGGGCUAAUACCGAAUAAUCUCUUUUGCUUCAUGGUGAAAGACUGAAAGACGGUUUCGGCUGUCGCCAUAGGAUGGGCCCGCGGCGCAUUAGCUAGUUGGUGAGGUAACGGCUCACCAAGGCGACGAUGCGUAGCCGACCUGAGAGGGUGAUCGGCCACACUGGGACUGAGACACGGCCCAGACUCCUACGGGAGGCAGCAGUAGGGAAUCUUCCACAAUGGGCGAAAGCCUGAUGGAGCAACGCCGCGUGAGUGAAGAAGGUUUUCGGAUCGUAAAACUCUGUUGUAAGGGAAGAACAAGUACAGUAGUAACUGGCUGUACCUUGACGGUACCUUAUUAGAAAGCCACGGCUAACUACGUGCCAGCAGCCGCGGUAA
rnacentral:rRNA from 1 species